rnacentral:lncRNA from 1 species
GUCAUAAUGACCAUCGACACUAACACUAGAACUUUACACUGAGUGAGAUUUUUUAUUUCCACUCUUUCUUGCGGGACAUUCAACUGUUUGUUCCUUGAUCGCACUCAAACACUGCACUCACUAUUGCCAAUAAAUGCUUUGCCGCAUGGGACCGCUGGGACCCGCUUUUAAAAAACUUAGAAAACAAAAUAAAAAAAUAAAAAAAAUUAAUCUGAAUUGGCAUUUUUACUUUCGCUCACUAUGGCCGAAUCCGCCUGGCCCUCCUUGCCGUCAUUAUGACCAUCGACACUAACACUUGCACUUAACACUGAGUGAGAUUUUUUAUUUCCGCUAUUUCUUUAGUCUUGCGGGACUCACUCUUACACUUCACUCACUUUUAACCACUUGUUGUAACGCUUUUCGCCGGCACUGUUUGCCGGUUUACACACUCACAUAAAGCAAAGAAAAAAAAACAACAAAAAAACACUCAAACAGAAGGGCACAUCACGCCAUUGUGCCUCUAUUUUACUGCAUCUUUUUUCCACUCAUAUUCCGAUGCGAUAAAACUGCGACACAAUUGGCUUCUCUUUUUCGUGCCUUUUUCACUUGAAAAAACGUGGUUUUUUUCACUUUCUGGGAUAUAUUUUCAAUAUUUACCAAUCUUUUGAAUUUAUCACAUUUGGAGGUGCGCUUUUCAAGAAAUUUUCAUGACUUUACCACUUUUUAGGCAAUUUUUACAUUAAAACACUUACUGCACUUAUCACACGGGUUUUUAUUUAAAAUUUUCCUUCACGACAUGACCAAACAUUAUUUUGCCCCGCCAGUUAAAAUUUUACUUAUUAGUCUUUGCAUUGCCUUUGAAUUGAUUUUGCGAAUGUUCUUGAAGGCCAGAGGAAGACGCAGAGUGCGUGGAUGAGAUCAUCAGCAUAUAAAUGGAGAUUGAUUUGCAAGGGUUGGUGUCGCAAAGACAUGAAGCGAGGGCGUAAAGUUAAGAGAACCUUUUUGCUUAGAUAAUCUAAGAGCGGCGACACUUUUGCAAUGAGUGUUUGUGUUAGUGUUGUUUGCCUAUGUUAAGAAUUGAGAAGAGCGCUGAAUAGAUCUGAGAGUGGUUUGGUUUUACAAAAGUGUGUGAUCUUAUUGUCGUUGCUUUAGCAGCCUAUGCUCUAAAGGCGUGGGAGUGAGAUGGAGAGUGCGUGGAUACGGGACCUUUUACUCUUGUUUCUUUGCACUGGCACUUUCAUAUCUGCUUACACUGCUCUCACUGCCGUCACUCUACCACUCAGCAAAAAGGGAAAAAAAACUCAAUCACGCCAUGGAUGGUUCCGUUAUUUUGCGUUGUCUUCAUCGCACUCCAAUUCUCCUACACACAUACAUUCAAAAGAUCGUUGGCGGCGGUAUUAAAACUGCGACGCAAUUGCAAAUUUUCGGGCAUCUUUUCUCGAAGAAAAUAUAUGAAAUCUAUUGUUUUAACAAUUACUGUGAUUUUAUUUUAAUUGUUCCUGACCCUUUGGCUCUCGACACACAUGGCUUUUGCAUUUUCCACCCUUUUUUAACAUUUAUCAUAACUUUUUCGUAGGUUUUUCACUUUUUCCGGCACAUUUUUCUUUUAAACACUUUCUGCAACUAUCACACGGGUUUUUGUUUAAUUUUCCGAACUUUUUCUACAAUUUUUCCGCAUUUUUAGUUCCGCGACUCGAAAAAACGUGCUGCUGCGACGGAG